UUACGGUCAUAUCACGUUGAAACACCGGGUUCUCAUACGAUCACCGAAGUCAAGAAACGUCGACCCUGGUCAGUACCUAAAUGGUUGACCGCUUGGAAAUACCAGGUGUU